CGUAGUUUAACUUACUUGUUUCUCUUCCCUUUUGACCAUAAAAGUCUCUCAUUUUGUACAGCUCCUCAGAGCUCCUUUGUAUCUGCUAGACUGGAUGCUGCCUGAUUCUUGAAUUUUUAAAUGAAGCCAAGGAGAUCUUUAAAAUGCACUCAGUUGAAUCUUACUUUGUAACAUGACUGAUAUAUUUACUGAGUACACUCAACAGAGAGAAUAAAUGGGGGGGGCACACCAUAAGCAAGGUCACACUCCUACAACCACCCCAAAUUCCUUUUUGCCAUUCACAUCUCAUAGGAUUUGCUAGAAUACAACCACCUCUUGCUUAUCUGAACGAAUCCCGGCCAAGGCCUGAGGAAUCCACACCCAUCCUGUGACUCAGGCACCAGGCUGAGGCCUGGGAUGGGCUUUCUAUAAUUCUUUUCCUUCAGCACAUGUAUUUCUCUUAUCUUGAACCUCACAGCCUUGUUUGUUUUAUUCAUCAGGGUACGUGAAAGCCUGGCAAGGUGCCUAGCCCACACAGAUAACUCAAUACAUGUGUUAGAAGUUACAUGUAUUGGUAGAUACUGAACAUACUAGUUGGGACUGUACUCCAGGGCAGAGUCUUAUCAGUAUCAGGUACACCAAGUUCUGAUGCAUUUCAAAGGAAUACAGAUGACAAUGCUGGGAUUCGGUUGUUAAGACAAAGCAUCCAAAACUCAAACUAGGGGAGUUUGGGAAGGACAGUAGGGGUGACUAGGAAGGACAGAAUAUCCUUUUGAUGGCAUGCUGUGGCACUGUGUGACAGGUCCUCCCAAGAGUUAUUUAAUGCCUCGGAGAGUAUACCGAUGUUUGAUGUUACUGCUCCCUACUUAAUGACAGCCCAGAUGUAGUGAAGAGACAUGUUAAAUUGUUGACUUUUAUACAGUUAAAAAAAAAAAAAAAAAAAAAAAAAAAAAAAAAAAAGGUCUGCCAAGGUUAGGAUCUUAUUGCUUUAUAGGACAUUAGUCAGUUUCAUAUCUAACUUAGCAAUCUUAGCAUUCUUUUUUUUUUUUCUCCUGAGUGCCUAUAAAGUCCCAGCUCAGCUCCACAAAGCCUUUUGCAAUGGCUUCUACCAUAUUCCUUGUACCACCUUCAUUACUGACUUAAGUAUGUUAAUAAUUUAAAAUAAUUAGCAGAGGCAAACUUUUCCAUAGAGGAUGGAUAAACAACAAGGUCCUACUGUAGAGCACAAGGAACUAUAUUGAAUAUCCUGUGAUAAACCCUAAUGGAAAAGACUAGGAAAAAGAAUAUAUAUACUUGUAUCACUGAGUCACUUGGCUGUACAGCAGAAAUGAACAUGACAUUGUAAAUCAACUAAAAUAAAAUUUUUAAAAAUGAUAUAUAUGUCUGUAUAGUAUUGUGUGAGUCACAUAUACUUUUAAAAUUUUGAAAUUCAUACAUGACAUUGUCCUAGGACAGGGCUUAGUAACCUCUGUAGUGCCGAGGAAGUCCCAUUAACGCACAGGCUACGAUCUCCAAACUCAAACUCAUACACAUACAAACACAUACAGGAACAGAAUGAGGAAUUGAAGGAGGGAGUUCCUGUCAUUGCUCAGUGGUUAACGAACACGACUGGUAUCCAUGAGGACACAGGUUCAAUCCCUGGCCUUGCUCAGUGGGUUAAGGAUUCAGCAUUGCUGUGAGCUGUAGUGUAGGUUGAAGACGUGGCUCAGAUCUGGUGUUCCUGUGGCUGUGGCAUAGCCUGGCGGCUACAGCUCUGAUUGGACCCCUAGCCUGAGAAACUCCAUAUGCUGUGGGUGCAGCCAUUAAAAAAAAAGAAAGAGAGGAAAUGAAGGAGGAUGGGGAGGGGGUAAAGAGCAGACAAGUAAAGAUAAAUAAAAAUGCAGAAUAAAGAGUGGACUAUUACACUGCAGUCGGAACAAAUGAAACGACAUAUGAUAACGAAAUAUCCUGGGUGCAUCCUGCAACACAGUGCAAAGUGGAAAAAAAUGCAUUUUCCAAGAAUUCACAUGAUAAAAAGAUUCACUCAGAACACAUUAAAAUCAUUGCCUUUAAGGGUGCAAAUGACAAUGAAAAAUGAGGGUAAAAAAUAAAUGUGGUAAAAUGCAAAUAUAUUUGUAUAUGUGUAGAAAUAGUUUAUUUACUUUAAUGAAUAUAUAUGCCAUUAGACUAUAUUUUUCUGUCUCUCUCAUGGCCUAAUUGUAUGG
rnacentral:lncRNA from 1 species